rnacentral:tRNA from 1 species
AGGGGUGUAGGUAAAUGGUAUACCGGCGCUCUCCAAAAGCGCAUUCGGGGGUUCGAUCCCCUCCACCCCUG